UACGAAGGGUGCAAGCGUUACUCGGAAUUACUGGGCGUAAAGCGUGCGUAGGUGGUUUGUUAAGUCUGUUGUGAAAGCCCCGGCUCAACCUGGGAAUGGCAAUGGAUACUGGCAGGCUAGAGUGCGGUAGAGGUAGUGGAAUUCCCGGUGUAGCGGUAAAAUGCGUAGAGAUCGGGAGGAACACCAGUGGCGAAGGCGGCUACCUGGACCAGCACUGACACU
rnacentral:rRNA from 1 species